rnacentral:rRNA from 1 species
GAGUUUGAUCAUGGCUCAGAUUGAACGCUGGCGGCAUGCUUUACACAUGCAAGUCGGACGGCAGCACAAAGAAGCUUGCUUCUUGGGUGGCGAGUGGCGAACGGGUGAGUAACGCAUCGGAACGUACCGAGUAGUGGGGGAUAACUGUCCGAAAGGAUGGCUAAUACCGCAUACGCUUUGAGAAGGAAAGCGGGGGAUCUUCGGACCUCGCGCUAUUCGAGCGGCCGAUGUCUGAUUAGCUAGUUGGUGGGGUAAAGGCCUACCAAGGCGACGAUCAGUAGCGGGUCUGAGAGGAUGAUCCGCCACACUGGGACUGAGACACGGCCCAGACUCCUACGGGAGGCAGCAGUGGGGAAUUUUGGACAAUGGGCGCAAGCCUGAUCCAGCCAUGCCGCGUGUCUGAAGAAGGCCUUCGGGUNGUAAAGGACUUUUGUCAGGGAAGAAAAGCUUGAGGCUAAUACCCUUAAGUGAUGACG